rnacentral:rRNA from 1 species
AACGAACGCUGGCGGCAUGCCUAAUACAUGCAAGUCGAACGAGACCUUCGGGUCUAGUGGCGCACGGGUGCGUAACGCGUGGGAACCUGCCCUUAGGUUCGGAAUAACUCCCCGAAAGGGGUGCUAAUACCGGAUAAUGUCUUCGGACCAAAGAUUUAUCGCCUUUGGAUGGGCCCGCGUUGGAUUAGCUAGUUGGUAGGGUAAAAGCCUACCAAGGCGACGCUCCAUAGCUGGUCUGUGAGGAUGAUCAGCCACACUGGGGCUGGGACACGGCCCCGACUCCUACGGGAGGCAGCAGUGGGGAAUAUUGGACAAUGGGCGAAAGCCUGAGCCAGCAAUGCCGCGUGAGUGAUGAAGGCCUUAGGGUUGUAAAGCUCUUUUACCCGGGAUGAUAAUGACAGUACCGGGAGAAUAAGCUCCGGCUAACUCCGUG